rnacentral:rRNA from 1 species
CAGUAGCCGCGGUAACACAGAGGGUGCAAGCGUUAAUCGGAUUUACUGGGCGUAAAGGGCGCGUAGGUGGUUAUUUAAGUGAGAUGUGAAAGCCCCGGGCUUAACCUGGGAACUGCAUCUUAUACUGGGUAACUGGAGUGCAGUAGAGGGUAGUGGAAUUUCCGGUGUAGCGGUGAAAUGCGUAGAUAUCGGAAGGAACACCAGUGGCGAAGGCGGCUCUCUGGUCUGUAACUGACGCUGAGGCUCGAAAGCGUGGGGAGCAAACAGGAUUAGAUACCCCUGUAGUCCCUGUCUCUUAUAC